UACGUAGGGUGCAAGCGUUGUCCGGAAUUAUUGGGCGUAAAGAGCUCGUAGGCGGUCUGUCGCGUCUGCUGUGAAAACUCGGGGCUUAACCCCGGGCCUGCAGUGGGUACGGGCAGACUAGAGUGCGGUAGGGGAGACUGGAAUUCCUGGUGUAGCGGUGAAAUGCGCAGAUAUCAGGAGGAACACCGGUGGCGAAGGCGGGUCUCUGGACAGUUCCUGACGGCUGAGGCAACGAAGGUCAGGGGAGCAAACGGG
rnacentral:rRNA from 1 species